GAUGAACGCUGGCGGCGUGCCUAAUACAUGCAAGUCGAGCGAACAGACGAGGAGCUUGCUCCUCUGACGUUAGCGGCGGACGGGUGAGUAACACGUGGAUAACCUACCUAUAAGACUGGGAUAACUUCGGGAAACCGGAGCUAAUACCGGAUAAUAUAUUGAACCGCAUGGUUCAAUAGUGAAAGACGGUUUUGCUGUCACUUAUAGAUGGAUCCGCGCCGCAUUAGCUAGUUGGUAAGGUAACAGCUUACCAAGGCAACGAUGCGUAGCCGACCUGAGGGGGUGAUCGGCCACACUGGAACUGAGACACGGUCCAGACUCCUACGGGAGGCAGCAGUAGGGAAUCUUCCGCAAUGGGCGAAAGCCUGACGGAGCAACGCCGCGUGAGUGAUGAAGGUCUUCGGAUCGUAAAACUCUGUUAUUAGGGAAGAACAAAUGUGUAAGUAACUAUGCACGUCUUGACGGUACCUAAUCAGAAAGCCACGGCUAACUACGUG
rnacentral:rRNA from 1 species